rnacentral:tRNA from 1 species
GGGGGUAGAGCUCAGUGGUAGAGCAGUCGAUUGCAGAUCGACCUGUCCUUGGUUGGAUUCCGAGUGCCCCCU